CCGCCCGAGCACUACGAGCCAUAGCUUAAAACUCAAAGAACUUGGCGGUGUCCGAUACCCACCUAGAGGAGCCUGUUCUAUAAUUGAUACUCCCCAAUAAACCUCACCACCCCUAGCUAAACAGCCUAUAUACCACCGUCAUAAGCUUACCCCUCAGGGAACAACAGUAAGCCAAAGAAUUUAAAAUUAAUAAGUCAGGUCAAGGUGUAGCACAUGGAAUGGGAAGAAAUGGGCUACAUUUUCUCCAAAGAAAACACGAAAUAUUUAAUGAAAUAAAAUAUGAAGGCGGAUUUAGUAGUAAGAUAAAAAUAGAGAGUUUAUCUUAAACUGGCAAUAGGACGAGCACACACCGCCCGUCACCCUCUUCAACACAAUCACACAAAUAAUAUAUAAAUAGAUAAAUGAAAGAAGAGGAAAGUCGUAACAUGGUAAGUCUACCGGAAGGUGGCCUUGGAAU
rnacentral:rRNA from 1 species